GAGAGAGAGAUCAGUGAGGUUUGUGUUAAGCUGAGAAGUCGUCGGAGGCAUCAUGGCAACAGCAGAGGCAGAACAUAAAGACAUAGUUAUCGUCGGCGGUGGCAUCUGUGGCCUGGCCACUGCACUGGCUCUUCACAGGAAGGGGAUUAGCAGCCUGGUUCUUGAACGGUCAGAUGCUCUUCGGGCUACCGGGACGGCUAUCGGCAUUCAGACUAAUGGUUGGCGCGCGCUCGAUCAGCUCAGGGUCGGGUCGAAACUUAGGCCGACUUCAUUUCCUCUCAAAGGAUUUCGUGAUGUAUCGAUCAACAAUACUACUCUGAAGGAGGUUCCUGUCGGGCUCGGAGAAGCACGAUGCUUGAGACGCAGUGUUCUCCUGGAAGCUUUAGCCAGUGAUCUACCGAGUGGGACGAUACGCUUCGGAAGCCGUCUCCUGGCCAUUGGAAUGGAUCCUGAAACUUCAUAUCCUAUCCUUCGGUUACAUGACGGCAGUGUCAUCAAAGCUAAGGUUGUGAUAGGAUGCGACGGAGUGAACUCCGAGGUCGCAAACUUCUUAGACUUGAGGCCACCUAGAAUGUCGCCCGCAUGCAAUGUUAGGGGGUUCACGAUUUAUCCGGACAGGCACGGUUACCCUCACGACUUCGUCACGAUAAACCAUAAUCGUGUUUUUCUCGGAAGAAUCCCGCUCGACGAGAAGUCAGUUUACUGGUUCAUAGCUCGACCAUGGACGCAUCAAGAUUCAACCAUCUCAAAGAACUCCGACCUGAUCAAGCAAUCGACCGUGGAAUCGAUGGCUGGCUUCCCAGCAGAAAUCCUGGAGAUGAUCGAGAACAGCGAGCCUGAUUCGUUGUCCUUGACAGGCACAAGGUAUCGUGCACCGUGGGACGUGCUAUUCGGAAGCUUUAGGAAAGGGACUGUGACGGUCGCCGGGGAUGCCAUGCACGUGAUGGGCCCAUUCCUAGGACAAGGCGGAUCUGCUGCAUUAGAGGACGCGAUCGUCCUAGCCCGAUGCUUAGCGCCGCAUAUGACUUCCCCAGACCAGGGGGAAUUGAGCAGGGAAAUAAUAGGAGGCGCACUGGACAGUUAUAUAGCCGAACGGCGGAUGAGGUUGGUCCGGCUGUCUGCAAAGACUUACACUAUCGGGUCGCUGCUCGAGUCGACCUCACUGGUUGUGAAAUUGAUCUGCAUUUUGAUGAUAAUUUUGUUCUUCCGAGACCGGUUCGGCCACACCCGAUACGAUUGUGGUCGACUAUGAACCCUCGAACGUUCUUGUUGUUUCUUGUUCUUUAA